ACAGCUGAAUAGUGACCGCGCAGUUCUGCAGCUACAGUUUGAUUAAGUGUUUGUGAACACUUUUUUCCACCGUAUUUAAGAAUAAAUCAGUUGCAGAGGUGUGAGCUUCUGCAGCAACAUGUCUGAAUAUGUGACAUUCCAGCUCGGCAGGCCCCGUUACGACCAGAACACAUUUUUUGGUCGGUUCAGACACUUCCUGGAUGUGAUUGACCCCAGAACGCUCCUUGUGACCGAGAAAUGUCUGCAGGAGUCUGUGGAGCUGCUCGACCGUUUCAAACAAGGAACUCUGCCUGCAGGAGUGACAGACGCUCAGCUUUGGGAAGCUCAAAAAAUAAAGCAGGCCAUCAUCCACCCUGACACGGGGGAGAAGAUCCUCAUGCCCUUUCGGAUGUCAGGUUUUAUUCCAUUUGGCACGCCAGUGGUUGUUGGCCUCCUUCUCCCAAAUCAAACAUUGGCAUCCACUGUCUUCUGGCAGUGGUUGAACCAGAGUCACAACGCCUGUGUGAAUUAUUCCAACGGCAACGCCUCCAAGCCGGCUCCAGUUUCAAAAUUCAUCCAGGGAUACCUCGGAGCAGUGACCAGCGCAGUCUCCAUCGCUGUGGGUUUAAAUGUUUUAAUCCAGAAAGCCAGCCGCUUCAGCCCAACCACCAGGCUUUUGGUGCAGAGGUUCAUCCCCUUCCCAGCAGUGGCGAGCGCAAACGUCUGCAACGUGGUGCUCAUGAGACACUCUGAGCUGUCGGAAGGCAUCAGCGUGCUCGACGACAACGGGAACGUGGUGGGAACGUCAAAAGUGGCUGCCAGGCAUGCACUUUUAGAAACAGCUCUGACCAGAGUGGUCCUGCCUAUGCCAAUCCUGAUGCUCCCUCCCAUCAUCAUGUCUGUACUGGAAAAGCUCCCUCUCCUGCAGAGACGGCCGAGGCUCGUCCUACCCGUCCAUAGCCUGGUCUGCCUCGCUGCCUUCGGCCUGGCUCUUCCUCUCGCCAUCAGUCUCUUCCCACAGAUGUCUGAGAUCAGCGUGAAUCAGCUCGAGCCGGAGAUCGCCAUGGCAACAGAUUGUAAGACGGUGACAUACAAUAAAGGCCUGUGAGUGAUUUCUGCUGCCGGACACGUGGAGACGGAGCCCGCCGCUCAUCGUGGUUCAAACUGGGAGUGUCGCGAUAUCCUGAGCUUGCACCCACUGGAUGGGAAUUAUUUCAGAGGAAAUACCAGCCGAUAGGUAACACACCUGACACCUGUGCGGCUGUCCUGCAACAUUCCUCACACCUCAGUCUCCAUCAGUGGUUCCCAACCUAAGAGAGGGGUGUCAUGAAACCACUAAACCGUGCAAUUUUCUCCUUAUUCUUGUAGGAAGGGAUAUUUUUGCUCUUUCUUAAAUCAUACAACAAUCUGAACAUGUAAAAUCAUUCUUUGCUUGAACCGCUUCAUGUGUCCUGGCGGCCCAAGCAUCUGCAGGUUUUCAUUCCAAUCAAACACUGCAGCAGCCUGUUUCACACUGAUUUGCACAUGUACCUUCAAUCACAAAGGAAGGACCAAUGAGUGAAACCUGCAGCUGUAAAGGCUGGUUGGUAUGAAAACCUGCAGACUCUGCAGCCUGGUUGACAUGAUGUAUAAAGUCUAAAGAUCUGAGUUGCACAAAAACAUUACAUUUCACGUGAGAGAAAUAGUUUUUUUUAUUUUUAUUUCUAAAACAUCUUUUUGUAAUUACAUGUUCUGCUUGAAAAGUAUGUGUUUUUUUAAUAUAUGUUUUAUACUACACACGGUACUUAAUGAAAUCUGCAACAAAUGGAGAUGUCAUCCCGCACUGACAAAUGUGGCGUGGCAGAAGAAGCACAAAGCUGUGAACUCGACCCGAACACCCGAGGUCUCUGCAGCUUCUCGUCUGUCCCAGAGUCAUGCACAGCUGGUCGUGAAUCGCCUUUCUGUGCAGAAUCUU